rnacentral:rRNA from 1 species
GACGAACGCUGGCGGCGUGCCUAAUACAUGCAAGUCGAGCGGGGAUUAUGCUUGAUCGCUUCGGUGAGACGGCAUAUAUCCUAGCGGCGGACGGGUGAGUAACGCGUGGGUAAUCUACCUCGUAGUUCGGGAUAACAGGCCGAAAGGCUUGCUAAUACCGGAUGAGUUCAUGCUUAUGCAUAUAGGCAUGAAGAAAGGGCUAGCCCGCUAUGAGAUGAGCCCGCGUCCCAUUAGCUUGUUGGUGGGGUAAUGGCCUACCAAGGCAACGAUGGGUAGCCGGCCUGAGAGGGUGUACGGCCACACUGGGACUGAGACACGGCCCAGACUCCUACGGGGGCAGCAGUAGGGAAUUUUCGGCAAUGGGCGAAAGCCUGACCGAGCGACGCCGCGUGAGGGACGAAAGGCCUUCGGGUUGUAAACCUCUGUCUGGGGGAUGAGAACGGACGGUACCCCGGAGGAAGCCCCGGCUAACUACGUGCCAGCAGCCGCGGUAAAGGUAAGUACA